rnacentral:sRNA from 1 species
ACCAGUUGGGUGGCCCACAACUUCGGGUGUUCCGAACCAACUUCUUCAUUCAGCUGGUGCGGCCCGGUGUGGCCCAGCCCGAGGACACCGUGCAGUUCCGGAUCCCCAUGGAAAUGACAAGGGUGGACCUCAGGAAUUACCUCGAGGGCAUCUAUAACGUGCCCGUGGCUGCUGUGCGGACACGAGUGCAGCAUGGCUCUAACAAGAGAAGAGAUCACAGAAACGUGAGGAUCAAGAAGCCGGACUACAAGGUCGCCUACGUGCAGCUGGUGCGUGUGAGCUGGCCAGCCCCAGCGGGGCCUCCGAGGGGCUCCUCACAACUGUGUCCUUGGGGAUGUUUGUGCCGGAGACGCUGCGCUGGGGCCCAGGGAGCCCCCGUGAGGCCGGAUCUCAGGGCCUCGGCGCAGAGGCAGGCUCCACAUAAGGUCAUGCUCCGUCACGGCCUUGGGGGUGUUAGUGGUGGCGCUGGGAGCACGUGAGCACUGGGGCACAUGGGGCACGUCUCAGCGUCCAGCCGUUUUGUGAUUUUGAAGUUUGAAUUCUCUGUGGGCAAAGGCAGCCAUCACAGGCCUAGUGGGUUUCAACUCCAACGCACACCAGGGUGUCUGAGCAUGGGAGGCCCCGGCCUCUGGAGAGCCUGUCCUUGGCUGGGUUUCAGCCUCGGAGGCAGAGUGUGAGGCCCCUGAGGGCAAAGGUCUUUGGUGCCAAGGCAGGUCUGGCUGGCCGGGCUGUUGGC